rfam:Hassallia byssoidea VB512170 scaffold_7, whole genome shotgun sequence.
AAAAUUGAAUAGGCAAAACCAAAGACAGCAGGUGUCAAUAGCUUAAUAUCCUGCCGAGGUUUGCACUUUGAUUGCUUGAAGUUGCACUUAUAAAAAGUGUGAUGACCGCAUGAGAAACAUUGCAAAACCCCGGCUGAUAUAGCUGGGGUUUGUUGUUUUGGGU